rnacentral:tRNA from 1 species
GUGGGUGUAGCUCAGUGGUAAGGUACUUGCCUAGCACGCAUGAGGCUCUGGGUUCAAUCCCCACCAUCACCA